rfam:Camponotus floridanus CamFlo_1.0_2.contig2729, whole genome shotgun sequence.
UAAACGGUUCUUUUCAGAGCCACCAUUUAUUUAACGUUGGAACAUU